AACGCACCUUGCGCCCUUUGGCUAUUCCGAAGGGCAUGCCUGUUUGAGUAUCAUGAACACCUCAACUCUCAUGGCUUGCCAUGAUGAGCUUGGACUUUGGGGGUCUUGCCGGCCUGCGGUCGGCUCCUCUCAAAUGAAUCAGCUUUCCAGUGUCUGGUGGCAUCACAGGUGUGAUAAAUAUCUACGCUUGUGGUUCUCCACCAUGUAACCUUCAGUGAUGGAGGUUUGCUGGAGCUCACAAAUGUCUUCCCUCAGUGAAGACGCCCUUUGAUUGUUUGAUCUCAAAUCAGGUAGGACUACCCGCUGAACUUAA
rnacentral:misc_RNA from 1 species